rnacentral:lncRNA from 1 species
GGCAAUCUGGUGGGAUUGGAUCUUAAUAUUGAAGACAAGAGAUUUACUCUGAUAAAUGUUUAUGGGCCAAAUAUUGAUACUCCCUGCUUCUAUGACAAAUUAACAGAAAUUAUAGAUUUCUUUGGAAAUCAGCUCUGUAUUAUCUGUGGGGACUUUAAUCUUGUUCAAAAUUUCAACCUUGAUACCCAUAACUAUAUAAAUAUAAACAAUCCAAGAUCUAGAGAGAAAAUUUAGAAAUUAAAGAAUAUAAGAAUCUUGUCGACCCA